CUAGAAGAUUGCCUCAUCCCUUCCUAGGAGAACGUAUCCUGUGCACCGGAUGAAUUGGUGCAACGAAUGCGCCGACUCAUUCUGGGCCACUGGAUGAAGAACAGACGGGUUGGAUCUUAGUAUAAGGUGGCAGCCGGUACAUUUCACACAAAGGACCUUGUAAAGUCAUUCAACUACACAAGCAGUCCUUCCAAGAUCCCAUCGUCUUCUUCCCUUCGCUCUUCUCCCUUCUGUACCUGUACACCGAGGAUUUGCAAGCUAGGCUCUGUACAAGCGCCCCCUCUCCCCUGAAACGACCGCGCCACCGACGAGCGCUUACAUGUAGCGCCGCCAUGCUGUAGGUCUGGGCAACAUUGACCCAGCCAUCGCAAAGCCGGCCAUCUUCUGCAGCUUAAAGUAUCCAGGGAAUGAAGAGCAGACAUUAAGGUCAAGAUCUGGAACAAGAAUAUAUUUUGUAAUGGCAGCAAGUACUGUCUGGAUGUUCAGCUGCAAGCUCAUUUAUAGUUACUUUGUCUCUUCUAGCCAGCCAAGAUAUCUCUGUCAGAUGAUGAGGGGAGCUGCUAAUUCAGGAUAUAUUGGCAUCUGAAACGUAAUGUAUCUCUUGUAGUAAAGUUAUUGACAACAGAACAUGGUGGACCUUCUGUUCAAGAGUUGUGUAGAACAAGCUAUCCUUAUGAAAUAUGUGCGUCAUAUAUAUGUACACAAUGAGUGAAUCCGACUGUGUAUACGACAGUGGUGUACAAGAAAUUUAAAUAUGGUACUGUCAAGUUUUCUA